rnacentral:rRNA from 1 species
ACAGAGACUGCAAGCGUUAUUCGGAUUCACUGGGCGUAAAGGGUGCGCAGGCGGCCGUGUGUGUCAGGUGUGAAAUCUCGAGGCUCAACCUCGAAAUGGCGCCUGAAACUACACGGCUAGAGUACUGGAGAGGGUAACGGAAUUCACGGUGUAGCAGUGAAAUGCGUAGAUAUCGUGAGGAACACCAGAGGCGAAGGCGGUUACCUGGACAGUUACUGACGCUCAGGCACGAAAGCGUGGGGAGCAAAAGGGAUUAGAUACCCCUGUAGUCCACGCCCUAAACGGUGCAUACUAGGUCUUGGCGGAUUCGACCCCGCCAGGGCCCAAGCUAACGCGUUAAGUAUGCCGCCUGAGGACUACGGCCGCAAGGCUA